AACACGAUUUUCUGUCUGGCAACACUGUGAUGGCAUAAACAUUUAUCCACCUCUGGUUACCUUUGUCAAUCAAAAUAUUAGAAAAAACUUCAUUUCCGCCUGAAAAGUGCAGAUCGAAAUCGUGCGAAAGUGUUAAAUAGCGCGUAAAUCGACCUUAAAUUAAAGAAGCGCUAAAAGGCGAAGAAAAACACGCUUGAACACACGAUUUUUUGUUCUUAAAUUUUCACUUACGGCAGAGACGCACACGCACGCAGCUCAUCGAAGCACACACACUCGCACAGAGAGCGCAGCGCACUCACACACAGCGGCAAGAAGCGGAGACCAUCAAACUUAAAAUUUGCGAGAAUUCUUGGCACCGGCGAGUCUUGGCCCAGCGAACGAAUUGCACCCGCCCGGCACACAGCACACAGCAUGUUCAGUGGACAUGGGCGGAUUCCUGGAUAAGCCGAAAACCGCCAAGCACAAUGACCAGGGCGAGGGCAACAAGCUGCUCUUCGGGGUCAGCUCGAUGCAGGGCUGGCGGUCGGAGAUGGAGGACGCCUACUACGCUCGUGCCGGGCUGGGGGAUGUCCUGCCGGACUGGAGCUUCUUUGCGGUGUUCGAUGGGCACGCGGGAUGCAAGGUGUCGGAGCAUUGUGCCAAGCAUCUGCUGCACAGCAUCAUCAACACCGAGGAGUUCAUAGGAGGCGACCACGUGAAGGGCAUUCGCACCGGUUUCCUACGCAUCGAUGAGGUGAUGCGAGAUUUGCCGGAAUUCACCCAGGAGACGGAGAAAUGCGGCGGAACCACCGCCGUGUGCGCCUUUGUCAGCCUCACGCAAGUGUACAUCGCCAAUUGUGGGGACUCUAGAGCAGUCCUGUGCCGCCAGGGAGUUCCCGUUUUUGCCACGCAGGACCACAAGCCCAUUCUGCCGGAGGAGAAGGAACGCAUUCACAAUGCCGGCGGCAGUGUGAUGAUCAAGCGGGUGAAUGGCACCCUGGCCGUAUCAAGAGCUCUCGGGGACUACGAUUUUAAGAACGUCAAGGAGAAGGGACAGUGCGAGCAGCUGGUGUCGCCGGAACCGGAGAUAUUCUGCCAGAGCCGUCAGGAUAGCGAUGAGUUCCUGGUGCUCGCCUGCGAUGGAAUCUGGGAUGUGAUGACCAACGAGGACGUGUGCAGCUUCAUCCACUCGCGAAUGCGAGUGACCAGCGACCUUGUGAGCAUUGCCAACCAGGUGGUGGACACAUGCCUGCACAAGGGUAGUCGGGAUAACAUGAGCAUUAUCAUCAUUGCCUUCCCCGGAGCUCCGAAACCCACCGAGGAAGCGAUAGAGGCUGAGCAUCGGCUGGAGAAACAAAUCGAGAAGAUCACAAGAGACGAAAUAGAGUCUAGCAAGAUAACCGACUACGUGGAUCUGCUGAAGUGUCUGCAGAACAGAGACGACAUUGAAGGUCUUCCACCCGGUGGCGGUCUGCAGUCCAAAUAUCACGUUAUCGAGCGCACAUUCAAGCAAGAGUUUCCGGAUCGACCAUGUGAACUGUAUGCAUAUGAUGAUAUAUGAAUUUUGUAAUGCUAAUUGUUCAUUUUAAAUCCAACCAACAACCAACAAACCAGCAAGAGAACAAAGAUAACUAAACAUCCUAAGCUUCACAUACUCUAAAUAUUUGAGAGAACCGCAUGUCUGUUCCUGCAUGUUUCAUCUUAUUCUACCCACUUCCGUUUCCGCUUCCGCUUCAGACGCAAGCUUGUAUCCUGUGUGAAAGUGUCCUUAACAACCGGCUCCCCAUCAUGGUCAAUAAUCGAGAUAUUUGUUAUUCUUGCAGAGUCCAACGCAUUAGGUUGCAGUCGAAAAACAAAA